CCCUGCUGCCACAUUUCCAGACCCGAGAGGAGCCGGAAACAGUUAACAUGCACUUUCACAUCAUAUUAACAUCAGUUUGUCUACAUAUUCAACUAAAACCAUAGCCAGGAUGGCAAGACUAAGAACUAGCAUCUGGAGGAAAAGCAACCAGCUCAGAGAACACUAGUGACAUUAAAUGGACCCAGGUCAGAAGUGAAGAAUGCUUCAAAGAACUCACCAGUAGCAUGCCCACUUGUUGCCCAAGUGAUGUGAAGCCUCCUUGCACACAAUUCUUUUAUACUUUGUGCACUUAAAGGCACUUUUCCUGCUGUAUAAAUAGACUUUUUUGGCACUUGUGCACACAUUGUGAUUUCAUUACCCCUGUAGUGUAGAUGUAUGCAUACAUACAUUCACGGUAGGCUACACACUGACCUGGGAGCUACCUAAUUACAUGCCCAUCAUGGACAAGUAAAAAACUCAUAAAUAGGGACUAUGAGGGGAGAAGGGCGGUGCACCGGUGAAACCCCAAAGACUGCAAUCAACUAAUAUUCACUGCAGGUACAAUGGAAAAUUCAGCAGGUGCAGGAAGCAUCCCAUAGUAGUUCUGCAGCCCUUCAGAUUGGCCAUAGAAGCCCUGAACCAGCUACUUCUAGCCCUGGAAAGGGGCAGGGAAGGAAAGACCAUAGUUUCCCAGAGAGGGAAAUGCAGGAGGGCUCUCCAGUCUCUAUUGACCCAUGGCUAGACAUGGGCAGCAAGAGUGAGACAGCCAGCAGGAGUGGUUGGAGGUCCACUGUAAGAACACAGGAGCACAGCUCCAUUAAGUCCAAGUUAUCUGACCAAGUAGGCAUUCAAGCAGUGGAGACUAAAGCUGGAGCCAAUGCCAACAAGCUGCCAUGCUGACUUGGUAAAAGGACCCCAGAUCCCUGAAGUGAAAGACAGGACUCCCAAUAGCAUAGCUGGAAGGCUCACCUUGCAAGGAAGGUCUGAACUGCAGUGACAAAGUGCUGUAGUUAGUUCUCACAAACUAAGAAGGAGGCAGAAUUUUCCUCUUUCUUAUUAAAGUUCUCAGCUAGGAGGUAGAAAUCACUUACCUGCCUGAAACAGAGGUAGGAUUUAAACUAAAAUCUCUCACCUCCCAGGUAACUGCACUAACCACAUGUUAUAUUCAGUGGUGGGCCUUUCCAAUACAGAAGGUGUUCCACCUUGCAU